UGUGCUCCUACACAUUUGUCAGCUUUCUCCCAGCCCUUAAUUUAAAAAGUCCUCUACAGCCUUUUUAAUUUUACAUGCCAGCAAUCUGCUUCUGUUUUAGUU